UUUCCAACAACCACACCUUCUCCCGCCCCUCUUUCUUCUGCACAUCGACUACCAUCAACAAAUUAAGCAAAACUACCAUCAAGUUCUCACUUCCCAGGUUCUGAUUUGUAAAUUGUGGAGGGUUCCGAGUUCGAUUUGUAAACAUAGGCAAUGAUGCGGCUUCUAUUGGAAACUAGGGUUCCGAUUUGAAAAUGAUUUUUCUUAAUCAGUGGAAAUAUCAAUUGAUUCAUCCUUCACAUCUCCAUCCAUCUGCGUUCUGUUUUGGAUUUCGAAGGGCUGCGUUCUGUAAGCUUAUUUUAUUCAAACAGUGAAUCAAAAACAACCUUCACUACUGGGUAUUGACUGAAGGUUGCACCAAUCAAACAGGCCCACUUUGGAUUAUUAAAGCUGUUGAGUUAAUUGCAAGUUUGAUCAAAUGGUUCGUACAUUCUUUCGCAAGUUGUUGAGAUACCUAUCUUCGGAAGAUGAUAGCGAUGAUGAUCUUGAUGAGGAUGUCGAAGAACAAUGUACUCGCAAACGUCGUAAAUUUAUUCGACGCAAUCAUAUUCAGGGACAUGAGCGUUUAUAUCGUGAUUAUUUU
rnacentral:lncRNA from 1 species